GACGAACGCUGGCGGCGUGCCUAACACAUGCAAGUCGAACGGGGUGAUUUCCUUCGGGGAAUCACUUAGUGGCGAACGGGUGAGUAACGCGUGAGAAACCUGCCUUUCAGUGGGGGACAACAGUUGGAAACGACUGCUAAUACCGCAUAACGUAUAUUGGGGGCAUCCCUGAUAUACCAAAGCUUUAUGUGCUGAAAGAUGGUCUCGCGUCUGAUUAGCUAGAUGGCGGGUAACGGCCCACCAUGGCGACGAUCAGUAGCCGGUCUGAGAGGAUGAACGGCCACAUUGGGACUGAGAUACGGCCCAGACUCCUACGGGAGGCAGCAGUGGGGAAUAUUGGGCAAUGGGGGGAAACCCUGACCCAGCAACGCCGCGUGAGGGAAGACGGUUUUCGGAUUGUAAACUUCUUUUAUAAGGGACGAAAUUGACGGUACCUUAUGAAUAAGCUCCGGCUAACUACGUG
rnacentral:rRNA from 1 species